GGACGAACGCUGGCGGCGUGCCUAACACAUGCAAGUCGAGCGAAGUUUUUAAAGCGGAUUUCUUCGGAUUGAAGCUUUGAUUAUCUUAGCGGCGGACGGGUGAGUAACGCGUGAGAAACCUGCCUUUCACAAAGGGAUAGCCUCGGGAAACUGGGAUUAAUACCUUAUGAUACUAAUUCUUCGCAUGAAGAAUUAGUCAAAGCGUAAAGCGGUGAAAGAUGGUCUCGCGUCCCAUUAGUUAGUUGGUGAGGUAACGGCUCACCAAGACCGCGAUGGGUAGCCGGCCUGAGAGGGUGAACGGCCACACUGGAACUGAGACACGGUCCAGACUCCUACGGGAGGCAGCAGUGGGGAAUAUUGCACAAUGGAGGAAACUCUGAUGCAGCGACGCCGCGUGAACGAUGAAGGCCUUCGGGUCGUAAAGUUCUGUCCUAGGGGACGAUAAUGACGGUACCCUAGGAGGAAGCCCCGGCUAACUACG
rnacentral:rRNA from 1 species